GAGCCAAGGAGCUGAGCAGAAGUGUCACAGAAAUGUGACAGAGCCACUGCGCGGAGGCAGAAGGGACCAGCAGGUCCUCCCUUCUUCAGAGGCAAUCGCGUAGUGAAAUUUCUAGCAACUAAUAGCUCCCCAUUAUAAACUGCAGUGGGAAAUGCGUCUUUGGAAAAGAGGCACAAACAAUUCUGCCAAAAACUCCAACAACAAAGUCUUCCAAGUUUCCAAAAUAUGACGGAAAAUAUCCUUCAGGGUCAGCAAGCUGGACGGCAAGCCCUUCCCAGGACUGCAACCGGGAACGCAGAGCAGACGGAGCCGUUCCAAGGGAGGCUGCCGGGACCAGAGGCAGCGAGGGACGGGCGUCCCAGCAAACGGCGCUGGCUUCCCGCACGGCGCCCUCGGCGGAGGGGGUGCCGGGCAGGGGGCUGCCAUGGCCCCGGUGCAGCUCAACGCCUGGCUGGUCCUCUGCGUGUUUGCUGGCUCCCAGAGGCUGACAGAUGAACAUCCUCACCGCAGGGAGGAUGCCGGUGCAAAUGCCCCCCAUCGUGGCCCGGAGGACGCCGACGUCAUGUUAGAGGUCUCCUGGGUGUUGGGGGCCCGUGGGCCGAGGCACUGUUAGCGCCCGCGCCCCCCCCGCCUGCACGUAAAAACCCGCAUGUUCUGCUUGUUCUCAUUCCUGCCCAAUUUUGGGAGCGCCUGGAAAACACCCCAGCAAUGCCCUGAUUGUGUUUGUGCUCCCUCCCAUUGCGGGGUGAGGCUGAAGGGGGCUCUGACCCCCUCCAUGGCACCUCACAGCUCUGAGGUGGGACAAGGGACACCUCCACCCCCCCAAACCCAGGGCUGCUGCCCCGGGGAGCCGCCGCGGGCAGGACUGCGGUGGGGGAGGUAGGGUGGGAGGCGAGAGCUGGAGGGGUCCCACAGGGAAGCCGCGGUGUGGGGCCGGUCAGAAAAGGGGUGUGGGGCUGUCAGAGAAGGACAUGGAGUGGGACUAGGCGGGCCGUGGGCAGUGAGUCAGGGAGCAGCCGCCUCUUGGUCCGGUCUGAGAUUUGGCAGCGUCGCAGAUGGCUUCACAGCUGGGUUGUAGCUGGCGGAGGUUU
rnacentral:lncRNA from 1 species